CUCACCUGGAGCCUCCACCUGCACCCCCUACACAUGGCCCGAGAGCCCAGUCUCAACUCAACCUUGUGCCCAUCUCCCUGUCUCGCACCAGGAAAAACUGCUGGAAAAGGCAACCUAUUAUUUUAAAAUCAGCAUUGCUGAGUUAUUGCCAUGUGCAUGUGAAGUUAUAGCAGAAACUGGAAUGAGCAACGCAGCUGAAGGCAGGUCCGUAGCAAACAUCAAAAGCCAAGCAGUCACUCAAGAAUCAGUUGUGGGGAGCACCAAAACAAAAUACUUUGCGUGUUUGAAUACCUGUUGGCAUGUUUCCUGGCAAGAAGGUGCCCAGAGUCUGUGUUUAUGCCUGCACGUACCUCAUCUUGCAGAAGAGAAGAUAGGCAAGGGUUGGGAAUGCUGUUACAACCACUUGAAUGCCCUGCUCCGCUGUGUCUGACAUUUGCCUGCCAGGACGGUGUUAAGAAUUAGAGGGGUCAGAGAAAAAUUGAGGGAUUAAAUCAGCAAAAGAAUGCUUCAGACUGGCUUGCAAAAUGUGGGAUGAUGAAAGAAACCUGCUGAGGUUUAUUUCUGUUUGGAUAAAAGGUGUUACCACCACAAACCGGCUAAAGGUUAAAAGCUGGAUUACAAACAGAGAAACAUUGGUAUCAGACAGCUAUCAGCAGUCAAACAUACCUUUCUGUGUCUGUACCAAGUGCUCCUGUGCAUGGUUAGAAAUGACCUUUAUUUUCAAGGAAAAUAGCGAUAAUGUUACUUAAAAGUAAGUGCUGAUACUAAGAAUCCUUCCACUUCUCUGACAGUUGCCUCAAAACACCUCUAGUCAUAUCUUGUAUGAAUUAGCCUCUAAGUAUCUAAAUUUGCAAAAAUGGAUCUAAGAUUGUGCAAGGCUAAGAUACAGACCAGUUCGCAACUGUGUCUAUUCAUUUAAAAUGUCAUUGUUUAAGCAAUAAGCACUUCCAUCCUGUCUUCUAUAUGCUUUAUAAGAUAGUGUCUUUCACUUUGUGUUCACAUUGGGGGAAUCAUUAUCAUUGUCAUCACAACAGUGAUACCCUCUUUGUGUGAGAACAACAGCUGGCCACAAUGUUUCAUGAGUAUUGUGCAGCUUAAAAAAAGCAAAAGUACAAAACAAUGAUUUCUAUAGACCUUCCCCGUGCUUUUUAUCAUCUUUC